rnacentral:rRNA from 1 species
GACAGAGGAUGCAAGCGUUAUCCGGAAUGAUUGGGCGUAAAGCGUCUGUAGGUGGCUUUUUAAGUCCGCCGUCAAAUCCCAGGGCUCAACCCUGGACAGGCGGUGGAAACUACCAAGCUGGAGUACGGUAGGGGCAGGAGGGAAUUUCCGGUGGAGCGGUGAAAUGCGCAGAUAUCAGGAGGAACACCGGUGGCGAAGGCGGGUCUCUGGGCCGUAACUGACGCUGAGGAGCGAAAGCAUGGGGAGCGAACAGG